UGGGGUUGUGCUCAUUGGUAGAGCACUUGCCUAGCAUGUGUGAGGCACUGGGUUCAAUCCCCAGAACCACAU
rnacentral:tRNA from 1 species